rnacentral:rRNA from 1 species
UACGGAGGGUGCGAGCGUUGUCCGGAAUCACUGGGCGUAAAGGGCGCGUAGGCGGUCUGCUAAGCGUGCGGUGAAAGCCUGGGGCUCAACCCCAGGUCUGCCGUGCGAACUGGUGGACUAGAGCACUGUAGAGGCAGGUGGAAUUCCGGGUGUAGCGGUGGAAUGCGUAGAGAUCCGGAAGAACACCGGUGGCGAAGGCGGCCUGCUGGGCAGU